rnacentral:rRNA from 1 species
UACGGAGGAGGCAAGCGUUAUCCGGAAUUAUUGGGCGUAAAGCGUCCGUAGGUGGGUGUGUAAGUCUGCUGUUAAAGAGUGAGGCUUAACCUCAUAAGGGCAGUGGAAACUCUUCGUCUAGAGUGCGACAGGGGCAAGGGGAAUUCCUAGUGUAGCGGUGAAAUGCGUAGAGAUUAGGAAGAACACCGGUGGCGAAAGCGCCUUGCUGGGUCUGCACUGACACUGAGGGACGAAAGCUAGGGGAGCGAAAGGG